UACCAGAGCAAUCAUUGCCAAGGCAGUAUCUCUUGCUAAAAGUCUCUGGUCUUUUUCUACACAAGGAACUACGGAGUCCUAGAUCUCCUGCAUCUCAAAGACUCAGCAUAUGCUGAUAUUCUUUGCUGCUCAGGGAGAAUAUAUCUGCAGUUUUCUCACUGUCCUUGUCAUGCCCUGGCUGACCAUUCUACUACUUGGAAUGCUCCUCACACUGAGAGGAACUGGAGCCCAGUCAGUGACCCAGCCUGAUAGCCAUGUCUCUGUCUCUGAAGAAUCUCGAUUGGAGCUCAAGUGCACUUAUUCCUACAGUGGAGCUCCUUUUCUCUUCUGGUAUGUCCAAUACCCUGGCCAAAGCCUCCAGUUUCUCCUCAAGGACACAACAGAGGCCCACCUGGUUAAAGGCAUCAAAGGUUUUGAGGCUGAAUUGAGGAAGAAUGAAACCUCCUUCUACCUGAGGAAACCAUCAGCCCACUGGAGUGACUCAGCUCAGUAUUUCUGUGCUCUGAGUGACACAGUGCCUAGAACUACAGAGGGAACUGAACACAAACCUCCUGAGACACUGGAGUUUUCAGAGACUCAAAGACAAAAUCGGGCCUCUGCUGCAAGGCUGGGGCUCUGCUCCACGUUCCGCAGCCCGGGCCGCCCGGCCCCUGCUGCCUCUCCGGCGCUGGGUGUGUCCCACGCUCGGCGCCGACGCAGGCCGGCACCUCUGAAGGAGGACAAGAAUAUCCAAGUCAUGUAA